CCUACGGGAGGCAGCAGUGGGGGAUAUUGGACAAUGGGGGGAACCCUGAUCCAGCGACGCCGCGUGAGUGAAGAAGUAUUUCGGUAUGUAAAGCUCUGUCAGCAGGGAAGAAAGAAAUGACGGUACCUGACCAAGAAGCCCCGGCUAACUACGUGCCAGCAGCCGCGGUAAUACGUAGGGGGCAAGCGUUAUCCGGAAUUACUGGGUGUAAAGGGAGCGUAGACGGGUAAGUAAGUCUGGAGUGAAAGGCCGGGGCCCAACCCCGGGACUGCUCUGGAAACUGUUGAACUUGAGUGCAGGGGAGGUAAGCGGAAUUCCUAGUGUAGCGGUGAAAUGCGUAGAUAUUAGGAGGAACACCAGUGGCGAAGGCGGCUUACUGGACUGUAACUGACGUUGAGGCUCGAAAGCGUGGGGAGCAAACAGGAUUAGAUACCCCUGUAGUC
rnacentral:rRNA from 1 species